GAUCCCUAUCUCCCACUAGGAACAUUUCCUCGGUAUCCUCUUCUAGUAUACCUAAGUAUCUAUCGGAAGGAUGGGAGAUCCUACUAGAUCUACGAGGUGGUCGAGGGACAUCAUGUACUGGCUCUGUAUGAAUGGGUUCAAUAGGAUCCAUGACUCGUUGCUUUUCAGAGACUUUCUCUUCAAGCUCAAUUUUCCUCCCACUGCCUCUAUCAAGGAUAAACUGGGUUU
rnacentral:lncRNA from 1 species